GUCAGGAUGGCCGAGCCGUCUAAGGCGCUGCGUUCAGGUCGCAGUCUCCUCUGGAGGCGUGGGUUCGAAUCCCACUUCUGAAA
rnacentral:tRNA from 1 species